rnacentral:rRNA from 1 species
AUUGAACGCUGGCGGCAGGCCUAACACAUGCAAGUCGAGCGGAGCGGCGGACGGGGGAGUAAUGCCUAGGAAUCUGCCUGGUAGUGGGGGAUAACGUCCGGAAACGGGCGCUAAUACCGCAUACUAUAGGCUGUGCCCAGACGGGAUUAGCUAGUAGGUGGGGUAAAGGCCUACCAAGGCGACGAUCCGUAACUGGUCUGAGAGGAUGAUCAGUCACACUGGAACUGAGACACGGUCCAGACUCCUACGGGAGGCAGCAGUGGGGAAUAUUGGACAAUGGGCGAAAGCCUGAUCCAGCCAUGCCGCGUGUGUGAAGAAGGUCUUCGGAUUGUAAAGCACUUUAAGUUGGGAGGCGUUACCAACAGAAUAAGCACCGGCUAACUUCGUGCCAGCAGCCGCGGUAAUUC